CCUACGGGAGGCUGCAGUGGGGAAUAUUGGACAAUGGGCGAAAGCCUGAUCCAGCCAUGCCGCGUGUGUGAAGAAGGCCUUCGGGUUGUAAAGCACUUUCAGUGGGGAAGAAAGCCUUGGGGCUAAUACCCUCGAGGAAGGACAUCACCCACAGAAGAAGCACUGGCUAACUCCGUGCCAGCAGCCGCGGUAAUACGGAGGGUGCGAGCGUUAAUCGGAAUUACUGGGCGUAAAGCGCGCGUAGGCGGUCUGAUAAGCCGGUUGUGAAAGCCCCGGGCUCAACCUGGGAACGGCAUCCGGAACUGUCAGGCUAGAGUGCAGGAGAGGAAGGUAGAAUUCCCGGUGUAGCGGUGAAAUGCGUAGAGAUCGGGAGGAAUACCAGUGGCGAAGGCGGCCUUCUGGACUGACACUGACGCUGAGGUGCGAAAGCGUGGGUAGCAAACAGGAUUAGAUACCCUUGUAGUC
rnacentral:rRNA from 1 species